GAGGAGGACCUGGAGCCUCGCCGCGGGAGGGUGCCCAGGGCGAGGGCGUGCGAGGGGGAGUGACUCCGCGCGCGAGGUAGCACCUGCUUGAGGCCAAGCCUGGCCACCUGGCGAGGUGGAGCCCAUCACCGCGCAAGCUUCCGGGCUAGCCCCAGGCGCUGUUUGUACCAGGGCUGGAGAGAUCCCUGGAGGCUGGAGUGGGGGACACACGGCCCAUAUCCCACCGAAGAGCUGCUCUCCUUCUGGAGUGCAAGGGCAUGGCCCAAAGGUCGGGAUUUGCUCUUCUAACCCGCCACGUGUACCCAGUACCCAGAAUCAUGAGUCCGGACUUGGGAGCGUGAAUUCACACCUGAGCCGGUCCCUUUCCUCCCAGAGCCGGCCCAGCCCCAGUGACCCUUCCUGAAGUCCUUAGAUCCUCAUUGCUUGUUCCCUUGACCUAGAAUGGAGAGUGGGAAGUUGGCGUGCGCCCCCAGGGCCGAAUGUCCAGCUCCAGUUCCCACCCUCAGGGCGGUGGCGCGCAAAGGGCUGAAUCCCUGCUGCUGUGCUGACCGGCGGCUCCGACUUUCCCUGUUGUCUGUCGCCUCAGUGCUGGGAAUCCCAAGAUCUCGGCCUGCCGCUCCGGAGGUGAGACAGCUGCUUGCCUUUGCCAGGACCGGAACGCUAGGCUUGAGCGAUCGCAGUUCUGAAUGUGGAGAGGUGGGUGCUGAGACAUACACCGAGAGCAAUACAAAGUGUUUGGCGAGGGCGAGAUUGUACUUGCCAGGGCAGCUCUAGAUCAGGCGCUGGAAAAAGACCUUCCGGAGUACAGAAUAGGGCUUUUGGCUUGUGACAAACCCUAACUGUCUUUCAGUUUAAGGGGUGAGUGUCCGUUAUUGUGAUCUGAGCUUACAAGGACUAUUGUGAGACCUUGGAGGCUUAGAACCCCUAAUUCACACGUGCCCUCUCACUCGGUGCAGAGCCCCUUUCAGUGUGUCAGUCUGAAAGGUGCACAAUUGGCCUUUCAAGAGGUGGGCGUGGGCCUCAUUAGCAUUUGCCUGGAAUCUCUGAGCUGUGUGGGAUUUGCAUACUGAUUUGCAUACAGUAAUAAUGAUUAACAACACUGCCACUCCCUGGCAGACCAGGGAAGAAUUCAGGGAAGGCUCUGGCACUGAUCCCACCUCUCCUCCUCCCCUCUGGGGAAGAGCUGAUUUUCUCACAAUUGCCAUCCUCAACGGCUGUGACCCCUAGAAGGUGCCUCAGUCUCUGGGUAGGCAAGUCCCAGAAGGGACACUUUCCUUUGGUCAUCCACCCCAUGUCCAACUUGGGUGAGUUGAAUCCCACUCCUCUACUUCUACUCAGGUUUGAAUCCCUGUACAUUCCCAUUAUUUUGCAUCUUUGCCAGUAGCUCAGGGGCUGGCCCCAAAGCUUGGAGACUUCAGAGGACAGUUAGCCUGGGGACUUGGUUCCUUCCCCAGAGUGGUCAACUAGUGGGACAGCUGUGGCCUCCUGGGACUUGUAAGCCCUGUGAAGCCAGGACACUCAUUCAGAAACUCCUUGCUCCAUUCCUCCCAGUCUAAGUGAACUAAGGAUAGACUGUUCUCUCUCUUCUGAGACUGUUCUCUCUCCAGGUUCUAGAGAUGCAUAUGAGAGACUUGGAUUUCUAGUCCAGGCCAGUGUGGAUUUUAUUUACGACUCUUCCCGUAGCCAGGUGACCUGGAAAAUAACAGUGAGUGAGGGGAGAAAGGAUGUCCCUGGGCCACUAGAGGAUCCACUGUCCAGGGAAUGCGGGUACUCCCUGGUCCCCAGCCCUCCAAUGCGUGUCUUCCAGUACUGCCUGUUCUCCUUCCCGCUCUGCCUCUGGCCCAGCCUGGCCGGGAUUUUCACUUGCUUUUCCCCCAUGACACGGCCGCUUUUCCUUUAACUCUCAGCUUCUAUUUAAAAAGCUAAUUUGGGAGCUUGUCGAUGCUCCCAAUUCAGACAUUUUAAAUAGGAACUGAAAACCAGGAGCUGCCAGGGCACUAGAUUUUCUCCUCUUGCCCCUGGCACGGCUGAGGCUUCGUUCAGUUUCUCCACUAGCGCCCUGGCUGUGUGUGUCUCUGUGUGUGACUCCCGCAAGCUUAGAGAGUAUUUCAGGCUAUCUUUUCUAUUUAAAGACGAUGCUCCUAUGGAUGACUAUUCUGUGUGUGUGUGUGUGUGAGUGUAUGUGUGUGUCCUUUCCAAGCUGUGCACACAUGAGGAUUCUUCUUUAGUCCCCUGGCUCUGGCCGCUAUUUGCAGAGCUUGUCAUCGUGUGGACCGUGAGGGUAAGCAGCAGCUUCGCUCAAAGUCGGCUGCCUCUUUGCUGACAUGCCAAGCCAAUGUGUCUGCUGCUGUUUCCAGGGACUGCUCUGCUCGGGCUUGCUCUUUGAAGCUUGCCUCAGAGUAUGCUAAGGGUCACUCCCACCCUCACUGCUUGUGACUGUCCUACUUCAGCAAUCUGUUCCAUCCUGGGAAAGAAAUUUUGGAUUUGUGGGCCUGUACUUCUGAGGGUUACAACUUUCUACAUUCAGAGUAAUGUGCAGGUAAAAAGCAUAGAUUCUGAGGUUGGAGCUGUCUGGAUUUGAACCUGUAUUUGCUACUAUUACCUAACGGUGUGAACUUGGGGAAGCUACUUAAUCUCUCUGUGCCAUGAUUUCCUCAUUUAUAAAAUGGCAAUAAAUAAUACCGUUGCAUAAAAGGGUUAUUCUGAAGAUUAAAUGAACUAUCAUAGAAAAAGCAUUUAAAACAGCACCUGGCACCUUGUAAGAACAGUAUGAUCUUUGGUUGUUGUUGUUGUUGUUGUUUAAAAUAGCGGUGUUGCAGGCAGGAGAAAUGUAGCUAGGGAGGAAGAUAGAACUGCUAGAUUGUGUACACACACACACACACACACACACACACACACACGCAUAUAACAAUAAAAAGGCCAAACCACAAUCCCCAAUGAGUCAAGUUUACCUUGCUGGGAGAGCCGAUUCCCUAAGCCCCAGAAGAGGGAAGCUUCCCUCAAAGGAAUGGAGGAAGAGUCUUAGGGGUAGGGAUGAGGAAGGGACUUCCCCUUUCAGAAGUCCAUGGGGAAUUUCCUAUGGGCCAAGUUCCAGGACCCUUACUGUUAAUUCUUCCCCAGCCUCCCUGGUUUACCUGACCACAUAAAGUCAAGAUUUCUGGAAGUGGAGCCACAGUGAGGCACUUAGGAGGGGGGUGGCCCCUCAUUUAACUCCUAGGGCUUGGAGUCCUCUCACUCGGAUACUGCCCCUGCCUCCCACCCCCGAUCCACCGCUGGACAUAUGAGUAUUGACUCAGUUGCCAUCAGAGUCCUUGUCACCUCCAGAAGAUGGGGCCCCAAAGAGGCCACCAGCAGGAAGAGGAACUACCAAGGAUGGAGGACAGGAAGGCUGCCUGAGAGACCCAAAGCCAUGUGCAAGUCCUGGAUUGUAUCAGACUUUGCAUAUUAAUCUGAAGUCAAGGAGCUACUCCAUGCUUUGAUCCUGGGUGGUCGAUAUCACCAGUUUUAUGGAUGGGAAACUAAAGGUAGUGGUGGCAUUGCCAGGGGGGUGUGAGGCUGAGUAGCUAGCAGAAAGCUCUCUCCCUCCUGCCACCUCCCAGGAUGCUGACUCCCCUCUCCUGUGAGUAGAGGGCCUCCACCAGACAGGGUCUGCCUACAAGGACACAUGUGGCCUGGCUCUGUAGGCCUCUCCUGUGUUUGGUCUCCACAGGACGAGGCAUGGGGGGCUUGGUGUGUGCAGGUUGGGGUUGUAACCUUUUGAGUUAUUUUCAAGUUAAAGUCUGCCUGGGGGAUCUCAAAGCUCAGUGGUGACUCAACUCUCUCGUAUUUUCCAAGGUGGGGUAGGUGGUGGUGGUGUACAGAUGCCAGGGAGCUUUGUCCCUCUCAGGAAGUUCAGGGACUCACCUGCUGAGCGUCAGCCCAGAUCAUCCAGUUGGCCAAGCCAGGAUAUGCUAUCCAAUCUAGUGGCCCCAGUGGCCGAACUCAAAGCCAUCAGGUGCUUCCAGUCCCUUCUUGAAGGAGAAGAACCCUCGCCUACUUCCUAAAGCCCUCCCCUCCUUUGGGAGGCCAGUCGUGGCGUGGGUGGCCAUCUCAUAAGACCAGUCCAGUGGUGGCAAACUGGAAGCCAUCAGGGUUGCUGGGCUCCAGUGAAGCUUCCAAAAGCCAGUCCUCUCUGCCGACCCACGGCCAGCUCGACACCUGCUCUGACCAAGGCGGAUCCUAGGAGAGUCCUCGCCUUGGUGAAGGGCUUUCUGCUCAUGGAGACCUCUCUUGCAGAGAGAGGCCAGGAAAGGAAGCCAACCCCGGGAGGGGGAAAGGCCCUGAUCACCUGAUUAUUUGUUUAGUUUCUUGCUAGGAACAAUCAGGAGGCCUCUGGGUGGAGGCCACGGACACAGCUCUGAGGUGCAGUGAUCUGUUCUCCUCCAGUGGCUCCUCUGUCUUACGUGCUGAUGUUUCCCAGGGCUCUUUCCUUUUCCGUACUGUUUCCCAGAGAGUUUGUCAGCCCGUGGUUUCAGGUUCACCCAGCUGCUUCUGCUCCUUCCCUGAGCAAUCCCUGGCCCCUCACCAUCCACCGGGCAUCUCCACCUCUGCGCUCCAUCUCGCCACUCCUCUUCCACCAUCCGCAAUCGGCUCUUUCCUCUAAGAUGCUGUUCCCCUCACGUCUUCUCCUUUUUAACCUUACCUUUCUCCACCCGCUCACACUCUAUUUUCUAGCACACAGCCUUUUUUUUUUUUUGUCUCUGACAAAUAUCUCCCCUGUCCACAUCUUGAGGACUUUAUUCAUGUUGUGCCCUAUUCUGGAGAUGCCUUCCACCACUUCCUGUUCCCCUGUGUCUUCUCUGAGCGAACUCCACUGAGCCUCAAACCUUAAACACCCAGUGCAGAGUUCAGGUAAGCAUUGGUGAAGUCAUGCCCGACUUGGGGCUUCCACAGUCCUUCCUGCGCACCUCAAACUAGGUUCUUUGCACCUAGGUGGUCUUAGUUGUCAGACGGUGGAGUCUUUUUCUGGCCGUUAAGCUGUGUAAGCCAAAGGACCUCAGCCAGUCUUGAGUCUCAGGCUCGGUGCUUGGCACAUUUUGAAUUCAUCUUAACCUUCGUUCGCAUGGGCUGAGAAUGUGGGAUGAAUUUGCCAAGGGGUCAGCCUCCGGGCCCUAUCUGAUGGAUCUUAAGCACAGGCAUGAGGACAGAGAGAAAGGACAAAGGUGUUCAAUUGAGGGCUGAUCCUAGAUGAAAAGAGUCCCAAAGCCCUCCUCCUAGUGCAGGAGGGGCGCUUUUCAGAUCUACAAAGUGAGUCCGUGUUGCCUGCAGAGACCUGGCCCGUGUCCUUCUCUGGAGCCAGAUUGGUUUUCAGGGGCCUCUUUUCUUUCCCCAUCGGCAGGAUGUCAGUUACACCCCCAGAACACCUCCUUGGGAACAGCAAGGUCAUAGUCAGUUGGAAAUGUCCCUGGUUGCCUGCAGCCGUGGCUAUGUUCAUCACAAAGAUCAGUUUGGGGGCCUGUUGGAAACCCAUUAGCUAGAACCCGGCAUGGCUUAGGAGGUUACCGAAACCAAAGGUUGCUGGACUUUUAAGUAUAAAAUUGUGUGAAAAAUCACAUCAGCAAAUGUGGGACAAUGGAAGCUUAAUGGUGUGAACAUGGGUUCCAGACAGACCUGUUUAAAUCUCGGCCCUGUCAUUUACCGGCUGUAUGACUUCAGGCAAGUCACUUUACUUCUCUGGUGCUUGGUUCACUCACCUGCAGAAUGUGUUCUAAUGAUGGCACCAUCUUCAUGGGGUUCAUGAGAAUGGAGUCAAAUAAUACAUAUAACGUAUCUCACCUCCAAUAAUAAACAACAAAAAAAAUGUUGGUCAUGAAGUUACUGUAACUGAGUCCAUAGAUGUCUGAAACUAGCUCCUUUAAAUCUUGGGUACAGUUUCACAGAGUUUAUUUGUAAAGCAAUUUGGACCAGUUACUUGAGUUCUUUCCAUGUGAUCACUGUUCACACUGGACUUCCAGAAGUGUGCAAAAUCAGGGAAGUUUGCCCCCUGACUUAAUUUUUCCAUUGCCUCCUCUUUUCAUUUUGUAGCAUCCCAUUUCUGCAUCCUGGACCGCCAAAGGGCCCAUUGCUCCCCAUUCCCUCCUCAUUAGCAAGAAGAGAUGAAAUUGUUUAAAUUAACGUGCAAGUGACUGUGUCAUCCAGAAAUAUAGCUGAAGAUAUUCAUAUUUUAAACAACAGAGCAGUAAGCUAAGACAAGGAAAUAGAGUGGGUGGGAUUUCAGCAUUCAUCAGAGUAAUGGGGGAACUUUGGAGAAGGGUCUUCCGACUUUCUGACUUGAGUCCUGUCCACACAUAAAACUGGUCUCUACGAAGCGGUUACAAGCAACAAGGUCAGCCAUUCGGGAACUCUGCAGCCAGAAAACUGAGUCUGCAGCCUUGGCAGAAGUUUGUCACGAGAGGAUCUGUGCACUGAUUUUACACGGACCAUCCUCCUCUUGGUGAACAGACACAGCCCAUGACCAUCAAGGCCCCGUCCAGCGUGGCACAUCUCUAAUGCUCCUACUCAGAUGCAUUUUUCCUUCAGAGCUCAAGUUGAGGUUGGGUGUUUGCCUCCCUAGGUUUGUGGAAAACCCAGCUACAAAAUCAUUAAUUUCUUUGAUGAGUCAACAAAAUAAACAAAGACAGUCUGGCUGCUGUCGUAUGCUUGGUCAUAAGAGGUUUUUGGACUUCUCUGCAUAAUCCUUGUUUAAAGAUGAGUCUUCGUGGCUCUUUAAAAAUUCUUUAUCAUGGAACAUUUCUAACCUACACAAAAGAUGAAAGAAUUGUAUGAUAUUCCCCCUCGUUCAAUGAACCCUCAUUUAGCUUUUGAUCAUUACCAACUCGAGGACAAUCGUGUUUCAUCUAUACCCUAUCCAUCCCACUUUGAAGCAGAUUCCAGAUACCCUUUAAUUUCAUGGGGAAAUAUUUCAGCAACUGUACCUUGGUGGGAGUCGAGAACAGCCACAGUGCUGGGCAUGGUGGUGCAGGCCUGUAAUCCCAGUCGCUUGAGAGGCUGAGGCAAGAGGAUCACUAGUUCAAAGCCAGCCUUAGCAACUUAUCAAGGCCCUGUCUCUAAAUAAGAUAGAAAAAAAAGGGCUGGGGAUGUGGUUCAAUGGUUGAGUGCCCCUGGGUUCAAUACCCAGUACAGCCACAACAAUAGCCUUCUCCAAGGGAGAAAUCCUUCCUCCUGACCCUCGUGUUUGUCCAAUUCUUGUAUCUGGGUCCAGCAGUAGUCCUUGGGUCAGGCAAUCUCAAGGGCUUGCUGAAUUCUGCCCAAAGUCUGCCCUAUUCCUUGGGAAGAAAGCAGGAUCUAUGAAAUGGCUGAGUGGUGCUCCAGGUGCAAGAUUUCUAGGAUCUGCAGGGCUUCUGCCCAAGAGCACAAUGAGGCCCAGGCUAAGAGGCAAAUGUGGUCAUGAAUCCAACUGGACUCCAUGUUUUUCAUGCAUUAUUUCAUUUAGUUUCAUCAAAUCUUAUUUUACUCCCAGUUUACAGAUUUAAAACAACAACAACAAAAAACUAAGCUCUAAGCUAGUGGUUCCCUGCGGCAGAGACUAACUAGAUGCCAAUCAAACUUAGUUUCUCUUUUUUAGGGGACACAACUGGAUUACAUCCCCAGGCUCCCUUUCAGUUAGGUUUGGUCAUGUGACUAAGUUCUUGACAAGGUAAGUAGUAUAGUUUGGAUCUGGAGUGUCGCCCAAAGACUCGUGUGCUGAAGGCUUGGUCCCCAGAUGGUGGUGCUAUUGGGAGGUGAUGGAGACUUUAGGAGAUGGGACCUGUAGAAGGGAGACCACUGGGGGCACCUUCUUGAAGGCUGUAUCUUGUUCCCCAGUGCUGCCUCUUCUCCUUCCUCUCUUUCUCCCUCUUGUCGACGAUGAAGUGAGCCACAUCUUCCCUGCCAUGAUAUUCUGCCCCAUCACAGGCCAAGAAUGAACAGAGCCAGGUGACCAUGGACUGAAAGCUCUGAAACUGUAAGCCGAAAUAAAUCUUUUCUCCUUUAAGUUGAUUUUCUCAAGUAUUUUGUCACAGCAACGAAAACUAACAAUAAUAGAGGCCAAUCUCAAAAACCAUCCAGGGUAAUCCUGCAUGUUCUCUUUCUUUCUCCAUCCACUGGAUGAAUGGAGAGAAUUCCAAGAGAUUAAAGGAGGGCAGAGCCACAAGAAGAAAAGAGCCCGGAUCCUUGGAAGACUGUGUCACACAGAGACUCCUCCCAGCCUUCUAUGGGUUGUAAAAAUGAGCAAAAAAUAAACUUGUAUUAUGUUAAGCUGCUGAAA